UGGGGAAUAUUGGGCAAUGGGGGAAACCCUGACCCAGCAACGCCGCGUGAAGGAAGAAGGCCUUCGGGUUGUAAACUUCUUUUACCAGGGACGAAAGAAAUGACGGUACCUGGAGAAAAAGCAACGGCUAACUACGUGCCAGCAGCCGCGGUAAUACGGAGGGUGCAAGCGUUAUCCGGAUUUAUUGGGUUUAAAGGGUGCGUAGGCUGUAAGUCAAGUCAGCGGUGAAAAGUCGGGGCUAAACCUUGAGGGUGCCGUUGAAACUGAUUUACUAGAAUGUGGAUGAUGCCGGCGGAAUGUGUCAAGUAGCGGUGAAAUGCAUAGAUAUGACACAGAAGGCCGAUUGCGAAGGCAGCUGGCAAAGGCACGAUUGACGCUGAGGCACGAAAGUGCGGGGAUCGAACAGGAUUAGAUACCCUGGUAGU
rnacentral:rRNA from 1 species